ACUGGCGCACGGGUGAGUAACACGUGAGUAAUCUGCCCCUAAGUCAGGAAUAACAUUGCGAAAGCGAUGCUAAUACCUGGUAAGCCCACGACUUCCUCGGAAGAUGCGGGAAAAGGUGGCCUCUGACAUAAGCUAUCACUUAGGGAUGAGCUCGCGGACCAUUAGCUAGUUGGUAGGGUAAUGGCCUACCAAGGCUACGACGGGUAGGGGACCUCAGAGGGUGGCCCCCCACAAUGGAACUGAAACACGGUCCAUACACCUACGGGUGGCAGCAGUAGGGAAUAUUGCACAAUGGGCGAAAGCCUGAUGCAGCAACGCCGCGUGCGCGAAGAAGGUCUUCGGAUCGUAAAGCGCUUUUCUGGGAGAUGAGAAAGGACAGUAUCCCAGGAAUAAGUCUCGGCUAACUACGUGCCAGCAGCCGCGGUAAAACGUAGGAGGCGAGCGUUAUCCGGAUUCACUGGGCGUAAAGCGCGUGCAGGCGG
rnacentral:rRNA from 1 species